rnacentral:rRNA from 1 species
CAGCAGCCGCGGUAAUACGUAGGGCGCGAGCGUUGUCCGGAUUUAUUGGGCGUAAAGAGCUCGUAGGCGGCUUGUCGCGUCGGUCGUGAAAACUUGGGGCUUAACCCUGAGCUUGCAGUCGAUACGGGCAGGCUAGAGUUCGGCAGGGGAGACUGGAAUUCCUGGUGUAGCGGUGAAAUGCGCAGAUAUCAGGAGAAACACCGGUGGCGAAGGCGGGUCUCUGGGCCGAUACUGACGCUGAGGAGCGAAAGCGUGGGGAGCAAACAGGAUUAGAUACCCUGGUAGUCCACGCCGUAAACGUUGGGCGCUAGGUGUGGGAUCCCUUCCACGGGUUCCGUGCCGCAGCUAACGCAUUAAGCGCCCCGCCUGGGGAGUACGGCCACAAGGCUAAAACUCAAAGGAAUUGACGG